GCUUACGGCCAUACCACCCUGAGAACGCCCGAUCUCGUCUGAUCUCGGAAGCUAAGCAGGGUCGGCCUGGUUACUACUUGGAUGGGAGACCGCCUGGGAAUACCAGGUGCUGUAAGCU
ensembl:rRNA 5S_rRNA 5S ribosomal RNA